GGACCCCACAAGUCUUCAUUAAGAGCCUCUGCUCAUCUGGUUGUGAUUUAUCUGCGUGGCUCCGAGCCUGCGUGGCUUUUGGCUUCCUGAAAAAUAAGGCUCAGUGUACUGGAUGCUUCUCUGCAAAGUUCGGUGGCUUUUGGGCCAGUGUGCUGCCUGCAUAGGGCAUGUUUGACUGUGGCACCGGGCUGUACAGAGCCCUGAGGCCCUCUGAGCAAAGUUGACGCGGUGCCAGGAUCACUCACAUUCCACAGCUGUCAAGGGCUCUCUUGGCAAAGCCCCUCCGUACCAGCAUCAUCCCGGCUCCCCACCACCUGGCG
ensembl:lncRNA